rnacentral:rRNA from 1 species
UGAGGAAUAUUGGUCAAUGGACGCAAGUCUGAACCAGCCAAGUAGCGUGCAGGAUGACGGCCCUAUGGGUUGUAAACUGCUUUUAUAUGGGGAUAAAGUGGGGAACGUGUUCCCUUUUGCAGGUACCAUAUGAAUAAGGACCGGCUAAUUCCGUGCCAGCAGCCGCGGUAAUACGGAAGGUUCGGGCGUUAUCCGGAUUUAUUGGGUUUAAAGGGAGCGUAGGCCGUUUGGUAAGCGUGUUGUGAAAUGUAGGAGCUCAACUUCUAGAUUGCAGCGCGAACUGUCAGACUUGAGUGCACACAACGUAGGCGGAAUUCAUGGUGUAGCGGUGAAAUGCUUAGAUAUCAUGAAGAACUCCGAUUGCGAAGGCAGCUUACGGGAGCGCAACUGACGCUGAAGCUCGAAGGUGCGGGUAUCGAACGGG